GACGAACGCUGGCGGCGUGCCUAAUACAUGCAAGUUGAGCGAUGAAGAUUGGUGCUUGCACCAAUUUGAAGAGCAGCGAACGGGUGAGUAACGCGUGGGGAAUCUGCCUUUGAGCGGGGGACAACAUUUGGAAACGAAUGCUAAUACCGCAUAACAACUUUAAACAUAAGUUUUAAGUUUGAAAGAUGCAAUUGCAUCACUCAAAGAUGAUCCCGCGUUGUAUUAGCUAGUUGGUGAGGUAAAGGCUCACCAAGGCGAUGAUACAUAGCCGACCUGAGAGGGUGAUCGGCCACAUUGGGACUGAGACACGGCCCAAACUCCUACGGGAGGCAGCAGUAGGGAAUCUUCGGCAAUGGACGAAAGUCUGACCGAGCAACGCCGCGUGAGUGAGGAAGGUUGUCGGAUCGUAAAACUCUGUUGGUAGAGAAGAACGUUGGUGAGAGUGGAAAGCUCAUCAAGUGACGGUAACUACCCAGAAAGGGACGGCUAACUACGUG
rnacentral:rRNA from 1 species